ACUUCUGCUGAGGCGUGCGCUCGCCGGCUGGAGUCCCACCUCUUGCUGCAGUCCGGCGAGACUCCUGGGACGAAUCCAUUCUUUCUCCUACUUCCUCUCUAGCAGGCACUCUGAGUCCUCCGCAAAAGAAUGUGCAGGAUCAGAGGCCUCUUUCCAUUCUGCAAGGGUCACGCAAGACCCAUGGAAUUCAACAGGAGGCAAUCUAGGGACUAUAAAAGGUCGCGACGUCUGGCUUGAGGUUAAUGGAAGUUACAAAGGGUCAAAAGCCGACAGUGAGCGCUACCAGGCCGCCCUGUGGGCUCAGGAUAGUUUCCCACCUACUCGACUGUAAUUAGUACUCUGGCGAGAGUAAAAAGGUACUGGCGUGGGACUUAGAAUACAGGAUGCCACCGGCUGAAGAAGAACCUUGUGUGUUUGGAAAAGCGGGCUGCUUCCUAUCGGUCUUGGAUAAAAGGCAACCCAGAGCCCGGGUGCAUCCCUAACUCAUGCCCAAGGAAGGUCGUGCGGAGCCAGAGGACCUAGAAUGUAUAGUGCGCCUUCUGGGUUUGUCCACACAAUAGCGCAGGAACACAGCGACCCAAUAUAGUGAGAAGUGGCCGCAGCGCACACCCUGAGACCCUUCACCAGGCGGCCCACCCGGAGCCUGCCUACUCAGCCCCGCUACCACGAUAAGCCUGGAAUGUCAAAUAUUUGUUCUAGGAACCCAGUGAAACCUUGAGGUAAAGCCCCUCCCCUCCUCCCUCCCAUUCCGGAGCGCGCCUGCGUCAGUCCAGGCUUUCCGGUAAGGACACUCCCUUCCAACUAGUUCCUUCUCGACACCCCUGCAACCCAUCGUCCUGACUAUUUAAACUUCACAAGGUCUUCGCUACAGGCUCAGGUUCAGUGAGGCAGAGUCUUGGCUUCCCUACCCAGUUAUCCCAGAGCUACUGGUAUCGGUUUCUACCCACAACCUCCGAGCAAGGCUCCCCUUUCAACCUGUAGACC
ensembl:processed_transcript 1810019D21Rik RIKEN cDNA 1810019D21 gene